AUGAACGCUAGCUACAGGCUUAACACAUGCAAGUCGAGGGGAAACGAUAUUGGAAGCUUGCUUCCGAUAGGCGUCGACCGGCGCACGGGUGAGUAACGCGUAUCCAACCUGCCCAUCACUUGGGGAUAACCUUGCGAAAGUAAGACUAAUACCCAAUGACGUCUCUAGAAGACAUCUGAAAGAGAUUAAAGAUUUAUCGGUGAUGGAUGGGGAUGCGUCUGAUUAGCUUGUUGGCGGGGUAACGGCCCACCAAGGCGACGAUCAGUAGGGGUUCUGAGAGGAAGGUCCCCCACAUUGGAACUGAGACACGGUCCAAACUCCUACGGGAGGCAGCAGUGAGGAAUAUUGGUCAAUGGGCGAGAGCCUGAACCAGCCAAGUAGCGUGCAGGAAGACGGCCCUAUGGGUUGUAAACUGCUUUUAUAAGGGAAUAAAGUGAGUCUCGUGAGACUUUUUGCAUGUACCUUAUGAAUAAGGACCGGCUAAUUCCGUGCCAGCAGCCGCGGUAAUACGGAAGGUCCGGGCGUUAUCCGGAUUUAUUGGGUUUAAAGGGAGCGUAGGCCGGAGAUUAAGCGUGUUGUGAAAUGUAGACGCUCAACGUCUGCACUGCAGCGCGAACUGGUUUCCUUGAGUACGCACAAAGUGGGCGGAAUUCGUGGUGUAGCGGUGAAAUGCUUAGAUAUCACGAAGAACUCCGAUUGCGAAGGCAGCUCACUGGAGCGCAACUGACGCUGAAGCUCGAAAGUGCGGGUAUCGAACAGGAUUAGAUACCCUGGUAGUCCGCACGGUAAACGAUGGAUGCCCGCUGUUGGUCUGAAUAGGUCAGCGGCCAAGCGAAAGCAUUAAGCAUCCCACCUGGGGAGUACGCCGGCAACGGUGAAACUCAAAGGAAUUGACGGGGGCCCGCACAAGCGGUGGAGCAUGUGGUUUAAUUCGAAGCAACGCGAAGAACCUUACCAGGUCUUGACAUCGAUCUAAAAGGGAUGGAGACAUCCUCAUAGCUAUAGAGAAGACAGGUGGUGCAUGGUUGUCGUCAGCUCGUGUCGUGAGAUGUUGGGUUAAGUCCCGCAACGAGCGCAACCCCUCUCCUUAGUUGCCAUCAGGUGAAGCUGGGCACUCUGGGGACACUGCCACCGUAAGGUGUGAGGAAGGUGGGGAUGACGUCAAAUCAGCACGGCCCUUACGUCCGGGGCUACACACGUGUUACAAUGGCAGGUACAGAGAGACGGUUGUACGCAAGUACGAUCAAAUCCUUAAAGCCUGUCUCAGUUCGGACUGGGGUCUGCAACCCGACCCCACGAAGCUGGAUUCGCUAGUAAUCGCGCAUCAGCCAUGGCGCGGUGAAUACGUUCCCGGGCCUUGUACACACCGCCCGUCAAGCCAUGAAAGCCGGGGGCGCCUAAAGUCCGUGACCGUAAGGAGCGGCCUAGGGCGAAACUGGUAAUUGGGGCU
rnacentral:rRNA from 1 species